UGGAUCCAGACUUUGAUUAUGGCUCAGGAUCAACGCUAGCUACAGGCUUAACACAUGCAAGUCGAGGGGAAACGAUAGAGAAAGCUUGCUUUUUCUAGGCGUCGACCGGCGCACGGGUGAGUAACGCGUAUCCAACCUGCCCAUCACUUGGGAAUAACCUCGCGAAAGUAAGACUAAUACCCAAUGAUAUCUCUAGAAGACAUCUGAAAGGGAUUAAAGAUUUAUCGGUGAUGGAUGGGGAUGCGUCUGAUUAGCUUGUUGGCGGGGUAACGGCCCACCAAGGCGACGAUCAGUAGGGGUUCUGAGAGGAAGGUCCCCCACAUUGGAACUGAGACACGGUCCAAACUCCUACGGGAGGCAGCAGUGAGGAAUAUUGGUCAAUGGGCGAGAGCCUGAACCAGCCAAGUAGCGUGCAGGAUGACGGCCCUAUGGGUUGUAAACUGCUUUUAUAAGGGAAUAAAGUGAGCCUCGUGAGGCUUUUUGCAUGUACCUUAUGAAUAAGGACCGGCUAAUUCCGUGCCAGCAGCCGCGGUAAUACGGAAGGUCCGGGCGUUAUCCGGAUUUAUUGGGUUUAAAGGGAGCGUAGGCCGGAGAUUAAGCGUGUUGUGAAAUGUAGGUGCUCAACAUCUGCACUGCAGCGCGAACUGGUUUCCUUGAGUACGCACAAAGUGGGCGGAAUUCGUGGUGUAGCGGUGAAAUGCUUAGAUAUCACGAAGAACUCCGAUUGCGAAGGCAGCUCACUGGAGCGCAACUGACGCUGAAGCUCGAAAGUGCGGGUAUCGAACAGGAUUAGAUACCCUGGUAGUCCGCACGGUAAACGAUGGAUGCCCGCUGUUGGUCUGAAUAGGUCAGCGGCCAAGCGAAAGCAUUAAGCAUCCCACCUGGGGAGUACGCCGGCAACGGUGCAACUCAAAGGAAUUGACGGA
rnacentral:rRNA from 2 species